CUUCACCGAGCCCAGCCACAACGGCCGGCCCUCCGGCCGAUCCUGCCCGUACGUCGCGAUCAGCGCCUGGGCUUC
rfam:Streptomyces sp. FXJ1.172 contig00267, whole genome shotgun sequence.